CGGCGGACGGGUGAGUAACACGUGGAUAACCUACCUAUAAGACUGGGAUAACUUCGGGAAACCGGAGCUAAUACCGGAUAAUAUUUUGAACCGCAUGGUUCAAAAGUGAAAGACGGUUUUGCUGUCACUUAUAGAUGGAUCCGCGCCGCAUUAGCUAGUUGGUAAGGUAACGGCUUACCAAGGCAACGAUGCGUAGCCGACCUGAGAGGGUGAUCGGCCACACUGGAACUGAGACACGGUCCAG
rnacentral:rRNA from 1 species